ensembl:rRNA 5S_rRNA 5S ribosomal RNA
GUCUAUGGCCAUACCACCCUGAACGCACCUGAUCUUGUCUGAUCUCGGAAGUGAAGCACGGUCAGGCCUGGUUAGUACAUGGAUGGGAGACCACCUGGGAAUACCAGGUGCUGUAGGCC